UUGGGGGUGGCAAUGGGAAGCCGUGAUGCGGAGCGAAAUAAAGUAGCGAAGUCCGUGAGCCAUGCGUCAAGAAAAGCCGCUAUUGUUUAUACCGUACCCGUACCGUAAACCGACACAGGUGGAUGAGGAGAGAAUCCUAAGGCCGGCGGAAGAAGCAUUGUCAAGGAACUCGGCAAAAUGGCCCCGUAACUUAGGGAUAAGGGGUGCCUGGGAAACCAGGCCGCAGAGAAUAGGCUCAAGCAACUGUUUAGCAAAAACACAGGUCUAUGCGAAACCGAAAGGUGAGGUAUAUGGGCUGACGCCUGCCCGGUGCUGGAAGGUUAAGAGGAGAGGUUAGCGCAAGCGAAGCUUUGAAUCUGAGCCCCAGUAAACGGCGGCCGUAACAAUAACGGUCCUAAGGUAGCGAAAUUCCUUGUCGGGUAAGUUCCGACCCGCACGAAAGGCGUAAUGAUUUGAGCGCUGUCUCGACAAUGCAUCCGGUGAAAUUGAAGUACCAGUGAAGAUGCUGGUUACCUGCGCCAGGACGGAAAGACCCCAUGGAGCUUUACUCCAGUCUGGUACUGGGACUCGGUAUUGCAUGUACAGGAUAGGUGGGAGGCUAGGAGAUGGUAACGCCAGUUGCCAUGGAGCCGCUGUUGGGAUACCACCCUUGCAGUAUUGGGUUUCUAACCAGCCGCCGUGACCCGGCGGCGGGACAAUGCCAGACGGGGAGUUUGACUGGGGCGGUCGCCUCCGAAAGGGUAUCGGAGGCGCCCAAAGGUUCCCUCAGAAUGGACGGAAACCAUUCGAAGAGUGCAAAGGCAGAAGGGAGCUUGACUGCGACACCGACGGGUGGAGCAGGUACGAAAGUAGGGCUUAGUGAUCCGGUGGUAUUAAGUGGGAAUGCCAUCGCUCAACGGAUAAAAGCUACCCUGGGAUAACAGGCUUAUCACUCCCAAGAGUUCACAUCGACGGAGUGGUUUGGCACCUCGAUGUCGGCUCAUCGCAUCCUGGGGCUGUAGUAGGUCCCAAGGGUUGGGCUGUUCGCCCAUUAAAGCGGUACGCGAGCUGGGUUCAGAACGUCGUGAGACAGUUCGGUCCCUAUCCGGCGUGGGCGUAGGAUAUCUGAGAGGAGCUGUCCUUAGUACGAGAGGACCGGGAUGGACGGGCCGCUGGUGCAUCGGUUAGACUGCCAAGUCUACGGCCGAGUAGCCAAGCCCGGAAGGGAUAAACGCUGAAGGCAUCUAAGCGUGAAGCCCCCCUUAAGAUGAGAUAUCCCAUUCGAAAGAAGUAAACCCCCUUGAAGACGACGAGGUAGAUAGGGCAGAGGUGGAAGUGCAGCAAUGCAUGGAGCUGACUGUUACUAAUCGGGUGAGGGCUUGACCUA
rnacentral:rRNA from 1 species